ensembl:snRNA
GUCUUUAAGAAAAAAGGGGAAGGUUAAUAUUUUCCUUGACAAAAAUGAAAGAGCUCCUUGGACUCUUUCAAGACACCUAGAGUUAAGUAAUUGCCACCUACUUUGUGAAAUCUACCAAGGUUAUUUU